ensembl:lncRNA
AUGGGGAUGUGGGGACAGUGGGAUGGAAAUGGGGACACUGGGAUGGGGACAAUGGGAUGGACGUGGGGACUUUGGGACAUGGGGACACUGGGAUGGGGACAAUGGGAUGGACAUGGGGACUUUGGGACAUGGGGACACUGGGAUGGGGACAAUGGGAUGGACAUGGGGACAGUGGGACUUGGGGACAUUGGGAUGGGGACACUGGGAUGGGGACAUGGGGACAGUGGGAUGGAAAUGGGGACACUGGGAUGGGGACACUGGGAUGGGGACAAUGGGAUGGACGUGGGGACAUGGGGACACUGGGACUUGGGGACAUUGGGAUGGGGACACUGGGAUGGGGACAUGGGGACAACAGUAUGGGGGAAAUGGGAUGGAUGUGGGGACAUCGGGACGGGGACAUAGAAUGGGGACAGGGGGACAGUGGGAUGUGGACAUGGGGACAAUGGGAUGGACAUGGGGACACGGGGACACCGCGACGGGGAUGUGGGGACAACGGGAUGGGGGCGCAGGGAUGGGGACAUUGGGAUGGGGUGACUGGGACGGGGACAUGGGGACAAUGGGGACACUGGGAUGGGGACACGGGGACAAUGGGGACGCUGGGACGGGGACAGGCGGACACUGGGGCCCUGGGGACAGUGGGACGGUGACGUGGUGUCCCCAGGUCCCCGCAGUCCUCCCAGCAGCGCCGCGUCUCCACCGCCCGCACGGAACCGGACCGAGGGUCCCCAACGUGCCUCCCCGAGAGCGAGGAUGACUACAGCAACGAGGUCUACGCCUCCGGAUACGUGUGCGUGUCACCGCGUCGCCGUGUGACAGUGUGACGGUGUUGCGGUGUUCCAUGUCCCGGUGUGACGGUGUUGCGGUGUCAUGGUGUUCUGUGUCCUGGUGUUGUGGUGCGGCGGUGUUGCGGUGUCAUGGUGUUCCAUGUCCCGGUGUGACAGUGUUGUUGUGGUGUGGCGGUGUCAUGGUGUUCCGUGUUGCGGUGUCCCGGUGUGACGGUGUGGCGGUGUUGUGGUGUGGCGGUGUUGUGGUGUGGCGGUGUUGUUGUGGUGUGACGGUGUUGCGGUGUUGUGGUGUGGCGGUGUUGCGGUGUUGUGGUGUGGCGGUGUUGCGGUGUUGUGGUGUGGCGGUGUUGUGGUGUGGCGGUGUUGUGGUGUUGCGGUGUCAUGGUGUUCCAUGUCCUGGUGUUGCGGUGUGACGGUGCGGUGGUGUUGUGAUGUUGCGGUGUUGCAGUGUUGUGACGGUGCUGUGGUGUUGUUGCGGUGUGAUGGUGUUGUGGUGCGACAGUGUUGUCGCGGUGUCCCGGUGUGACGGUGUUGUGGUGUGACAGUGUUGCGGUGUUGUGGUGUUGCGGUGUCAUGGUGUUCCAUGUCCUGGUGUUGCGGUGUGACGGUGCGGUGGUGUUGUGAUGUUGCGGUGUUGUGACAGUGUUGUAGCGGUGUUGCAGUGUUGUGACGGUGCUGUGGUGUUGUUGCGGUGUGAUGGUGUUGUGGUGCGACAGUGUUGUCGCGGUGUGACGGUGUUGUCGCAGCAUCACUGUGUGACAGUGUUGCGGUGUGACGCUGUUGUGACGCUGUUGCGGUGUUGUGGUGUGACGCUGUUGUGGCGGUGUAACGGUGUUGUGACGCUGUUGUUGCGGUGUUGUGGUGUGACGCUGUUGUUGCGGUGUGACACUGUUGUGAUGCUGUUGUUGCGGUGUUGUGGUGUGACGCUGUUGUGGCGGUGUGACGCUGUUGUGACGCUGUUGUGACGCU